UACAGAGGUCCCAAGCGUUGUUCGGAUUCACUGGGCGUAAAGGGUGCGCAGGUGGGUUUGCAAGUUCGAUGUGAAAGCCCCGGGCUUAACCCGGGGAAUGGCAUUGGAUACUGCAGAUCUGGAGGAUCGGAGGGGGGGACUGGAAUUCUUGGUGUAGCAGUGAAAUGCGUAGAUAUGCGGAGGAACACCGAUGGCGAAGGCAAUCCCCUGGGCCUGUACUGACGCUCAUGCACGAAAGCUGGGGAGC
rnacentral:rRNA from 1 species